CCUACGGGGGGCAGCAGUCGGGAAUAUUGCGCAAUGGAGGAAACUCUGACGCAGGGACGCCGCGUGCAGGAAGAAGGUUUUCGGAUUGUAAACGGCUGUAGACAGGGAAGAAAAAAGAAAGGACCGGGAGAAUAAGCACCGGCUAACUACGUGCCAGCAGCCGCGGUAAUACGUAGGGAGCAAGCGUUAUCCGGAUGUAUGGGGUGUAACGGGUGCGUAGAAGGAGAAGCAAGUUAGUUGUGAAAUCCCUCGGCUUAACUGAGGAACUGCAACUAAAACUACUUCCCUUGAGUACUGGAGAGGCCAGUGGAAUUCCUAGUGUAGCUGUUCACUGCGUCGAUAUUAGG
rnacentral:rRNA from 1 species